rnacentral:piRNA from 1 species
UUUUUUCAAUUAUGUAAGAAA